rnacentral:rRNA from 1 species
AAAUGAAUAGACGGGGACCCGCACAAGCGGUGGAACAUGUGGUUUAAUUCGAAGCAACGCGAAGAACCUUACCAGGGCUUGACAUCUGAAGAAUCUUAGGGAAACCUAGGAGUGCCUUCGGGAGCUUCAAGACAGGUGGUGCACGGUUGUCGUCAGCUCGUGUCGUGAGAUGUUGGGUUAAGUCCCGCAACGAGCGCAACCCUCGUGGUUAGUUGCCUAUAUCGGUUUACUGGUAUAGAGCUCUCUAGCCAGACUGCCGGUGAUAAACCGGAGGAAGGUGGGGACGACGUCAAAUCAUCAUGCCCCUUAUGCUCUGGGCUACACACGUGUUACAAUGGCUGGUACAACGAGUCGCCAAUCAGCGAUGAUGAGCAAAUCUCUUAAAGCCAGUCUCAGUUCGGAUUGCACUCUGCAACUCGAGUGCAUGAAGUCGGAAUCGCUAGUAAACGCAGAUCAGCACGCUGCGUUGAAUACGUUCCCGGGUCUUGUACACACCGCCCGU